GCUCUGUGGCAGCCCGGCGCAGAGCCGUGCGCGGAGCCGCCCGCAGACACGGAGCGGUUCGGCUGACGGCCCUCGGGACGGGCCCGGCCUGCCUUCCGGGGCUGCUGCGCCCCACAUCUUCCAGUGAGGCUGCCUGCGUGCCCGUACGUGCUGGUUGUGUUACUCUGAGGGUCUGCAGGUAACGACGUUUGUGCAAUGAGGGCGGCGAGGCAGUGCCACAGGUUGCCCGGAGAGGCGGUGUGCCCCAUCCCUGCACACACCCAGGGUCAGGACGGAGGGGCUCUGAGCACUGACGGGGCUGUAGGUGUCCCUGUUGGUGCAUCGGGCUGGACCCGAUGACCUUCAAAGCUCCCUUCCAACUCCGGCUUCUUAUGAUCCUAUGCUGGCCAUGUGCUUCCCUCUGCUGUCUGCUGUGGAACGUAAGGCGUUAUCGGGUCUACGGUAAGACCUGGGAUAAACCUUCAACUUCCAGUAAGCAGCACCUCUCUGACAGUUAUUUAAAGCCUGUCCGCAUUGUUCCAGAGCUAUUUCCUUUUUCCUCUAAGGCAACCUACAGUAGGAAACCGGCGGUCCCUCAGGUAGCCCGCUUCCACUUCACUUGAAGUCUUGCCUGCUCGUUGCAUUUGGGGCCAGCAGAGCGACCUGCAGAGGCUGAAAAUUGUCUGCGGCUUCCUGCCUUUUGUGGAGUGGGCCAAAGAUAACAGUUUUGGUUUGGUUUCGGACGGCCCAGGAGUGGGCCUGUUGUGAUUCAUGCGUUCCACUUGCAGAUUGGCAUUGCUGAGACUAUAAAAUGGACGUGCUUGCUUUGGACGGCCUUCCGUAGCCUUUGAAGGGCACAGAAGUGUUCUCCCUGGUUUUGGUGGGAGAAGCAGUCUGUUUGGUGUGCUAGGCUGGUGUGCCAGUUAGUAUCUCCUACUGAUAGGAUGGGAAAGGACAGGGGAUUGGGGUCUCAUUUGUGAAGACUGAAUGUUUGUAGAUGGGGCGUUUUGCACAUUACAUACAAUUUGCAGACCAGUGAUUUGGUAGUUUGUUUUAACCGAUCCAUCUGCCAUCUUAACUCUAGAAAUGAAUGGAAAAGACAGCGUGCUGUGAAUGGAAGUCGUGCUCUGUGAAACCAGCAGUUACUUGUGUGGUAACAGAUAUGUUCUGCGGGGAAAAAGAGAAUGAACUGAAAGCGAGACGUGGAAAUCAAGCUAUGGGAAAGGGUUUUUUUUUGUGACGUUGUGGAUGACUGCGAGGGUUGGCAUUUGUAGCAACCAGAGCCCAUCUCAGUCAUGCAGGGAGUCGCUUUGUAAACGCAGCUUUCCUGCCAACGAGGUUUGUUUGCUUGGUGAUAAGAAACAAUGGUCAACUCGAUGUGCUACUUAAGCAUUUCAGUGCUUGAGGAGAGGAAUCUAGGUUUGUGCUGAACCUGUUUUCUUAGUUAGUCAAAUGCCGGCUUGGCAGCCAAUCUAGAAGGCUGGUAGCACCGAGGCAGAGUGAUUAUGAGGAUUGUUUUCAGCAGCCUCUGCUAAGUCUGCUUUUAUGAAACUUCUUUCCGUUAAAGAAAACAGGUCUUAUCUUCAGGAUUGGAAGCACCGCAUGAGGGAGAGGCACGGGCCAUACUUUUCAAGGUGCCUGAAAAGCAGUGAUGGUUUUGGCUUUGAGUAAGACUGGUGUUCAUCCACGAGAGUGAUAUUAGCUGCAGUUAAGGAGGGGAAAGCAUGGCACAGAGGAGCAACAAAAGGUGUGAGUUUUCCAGUUGUACAUGGAGCACUCGUUUUUGUUCUGCUAAGGAGAGUGUAGUUACAUUGGUUUGGGUUUGUUUUUUCCACUUCCUGCACCUGGGGGUUGUUGUACCCUAAUACAGGCUCUUUUUCUUAUGGCACAGUGGGAUGGCAUGAUCGGUGUGUGGCCCUGGGGGCACCCAGGCCUGAAGCCGUGCCCUCACUGUGUGCUGAGAGCUGGCCUUGGGGUGAAGCCAGGUGGUGCCUGACACUGGGUGAGCUCCCAGAGGAGGACAGCACACUCCAGGUCCCGUCCUUAUUUUACUGGUGUUGCAAACAAGUUAUUCUUGUACUCUGCAGAAAGCCUCACGACCACAAAACCAGCAAUAAUUGUAUAAAUGAUAAGCCUGUUUUCCUCCUCCUCCUCCCAGAUAUUCUGAGUGCGACAGACAGCAGAGAUGUGCAUUGCUGGAAUCCAGAGAGUUUCAUAACGUGGCAGCCGCUUGCUGCAUAUGCCACUGCAUACAUAAAGCGGUAUUUAUUUUAAGUAUUGAGGAACAUUCUCUCUAAGCAGAAGAAAAAAGCGUUUAGGUGAAGCCGGUCCCGUUUGUUUACAAGUCUUGGUUUUUGUCUUUAUACAUUUUAAAUGCUUUUUAUUUGUAUCCUGAUUUUUUUUGAGCCUUUCAAGUUCAUGUUUUCCAUUUCUCGUUGUUCACACAACAAGAAAGCCUGGAUUGAGUCCUUACUUUAUAAAGGAAGAUCUCAUUGAGUGUCCCCUCUAACCACACAACCUCAGCCAAAGGGUGUUUAAAAAUACAGCCCCUUUUGAGAGAAUUGCUUGUCUUGAGAGCAGUUUUCAGCUCUGAGCUUGAGUAAUUUAAGUAAAUACUUUGUUGGCGGUUUAAGAAGCUUUUAACAACACCUAUCUCUGUUUGCUUUUCAGGGAGGUCUCUCUUCUACUUUUCUGAACAUCUAGAGCUUGUUUCACCUCUGUAUGUGCUGAUGAAGUCAGAAACGUAGUGUACCAGCAUGACUAACGUGUGUUGAAUAAUGCAUACAAAUAUAUGCACAGAUUUCAUGCAGUCCCCUUAAGCUGCUGAGCAGCAGGGAGGGUGCAGAGCCCCUCCUCAGGGCGGCAGGAGGAGGUGUGUUGGCAUCCUGGGAGGAGCAGAAAACCUCUGUGGUUCCCUGAGGAAAUCACAGAUGCGUUCGAGGCCUUAAGCUUGGUAGCCUGAUGUUUAACCCUGUCCUUGUUUUUGGAAUGCUGUUAACAGAUAAGUGAGCAUUUUAAAUCUGUUGUUGUUUGUUGCGGUGCUGCUCUCAAGCAGUGCACAUCAAGACCAGGAGGAGACAUCCUUCCUCAGCUCAAAGAUUCUGCCUCUCCCCGCUAUGGAUACAAGCACAAGCACCUGGCUAUGCGUUCCCCAGGCUGCAGACAGCUUUCUGGCCAGCUGCUCUCUCUGCUCUAUCCCUACCAAUAACAUCCAGGGAAAGCAGGGGCCGACUGCUGUCCUGUGGCUGUGCAGGAGCCCCAUUCUGUGCUCCCAGGCCAGGUGCUCCAGAAUGGCUUUUCUAGGAGGUUACGACUUGUGUGGUUUCAAUCGCAUAAGUCUUUGGCCUUGUGCCCUGAAGUGCCAGCAGAGGCAUGCUGUAAUUGCCCGUAAACGCACCGUCUGUCAUUAUCAUUGUUUAAUUAUUCCAGCUUCUCACCGCCACGCACUGCUCAGUGUCUCUCCUGCUAUCUUUAUUUAAUUGAGUGGAAAAAAUCUGAGACUUGUGCUUCACUUACGUCACUUUGUAUUUAUCCAGCAUCACUGGAUCCCGCUUUGAAGUCCCAGCUUUUGUAUGCAGAAGUCGGUCUUCUAUACAGACAAAAUAAUGUCCGUGUCAAAAGCGUAUGUUAGAAAUAGAAUCAAUAUUUUAACACAUGGUAAACUCCGGCCACAAAGCUCUUAGCACAGUCAAAUGAUUGUAUGAUCAUCCUUUGAAACUUGGCUCUGCCCCUGGGAAACAAGAAAGGGAAAGAAAACUCUUGAAUAACCAAGCCCUUGUCCUCACAGCGCAGGACUGUUCUCAGCCUGUCGCUUUGUCUGUGCCACUCCUUCCUUUUCCGUCUCCCAGCUCUGUUUUCUUCUGCAUCAAACGCAUUCAGCUCCAGGAGCCUUCUUUCUCCAGCCCAUCCCUAUGGAUCUGUUUUAGUGCAUUACCAGACGUCAGUUCCGUCCCGAGAUCGCCCUGCACCGUCCCCGUGGCAGUUCCACCACGUUUCAGACACCUCUACGCUUCUGUACCAAGCUUGCAACUAACCAGAUAUUAAUGUGAUGCAAAAGUCUCCGAGCCAGACCAACGCUUUGUGCAGCACCUAGCUCACCGGGUUGCUAUCAAGGCAGCUGUGUGCUCCUACACCAACACAAAAUAUUGGGGUUGCUGGCACUCACUCUGGCCUAGUUUGCCUCUCUCCUCUUAGAAGGAGUUUCAUGACGUCCUCCUGGAAGAUCAUUGUACACCUGAACAGGUCUACCUUUCAGGAUUCUAUUUUACUUUUUCAUAAAUCCUCAGCUGAGGUUUUCAUUUGCAGGUGUGCUCCUUGUAAUGCUCGGCUCCCUGACUGAGCCAGCAUCAUUUUUGGGGUUGUACUUUCCGGCUUCUCAUAGCUGUAAGAUUAUUAAUUUCAUACUAUUUUCUGAUUUGUUUCAUUUUUCAUCCAUCUCUUUCCUGCAGGAGAGAGCAAUUUAUAUCAUGAUUUCGCUGUGGAAUUGACUUCAGGCUUUACUGCUAUUUGUCACCAUUCAGGAAAUCCAUCCCUGGCUCGAGAAGAACACUCAGUCCCUGCUGACAGUUUGAAAGAGGGAGAGAAAAUAGAUAGCAGAGCUGCAGCUAUUAGGACCAACAGGCACAUAUUUUAUUCCAACUCAAUUUUCCAUUUCCAAAUGCCUUUUGAAGAAAACCUUUCUGUUUGAAAGAACAUGAAGGAAGGUUGUGGGUACCGGUGGGUUUUUUUGGCGGGUGGGGGGUUGUUUUGGUAGUGAUGGUUUGUUGUCAAUGUUGUUUCGUAGGGACUCUCCUGUUCUUGAUGAUGUCCAUCUUCUUCCACGUUUCAGGCAGCAGGCUCACAACAACGACAAGAUGUUAUCCCACGGAAAGCUGCUGCUGCUGCCUCUGGCCUUGGUUAACCUGUUGGCAAUGGUGCUUGCCUGGGCAUGGGGCAACUGGCUUUUCACACAGCUCAGCAUGGACGUGCUGCCACUCCCAGUCACUUUUAGGACACAGUAGAAUUGUUUUUCUUGAGAUUACUGUACCCAUUAAUCUUAAGAAAAACAUGUAAUAAAACUGUUCAGCCUUCCUGGGGCCACCACUCCCAGAGACCUUUCCCCUUUUUGGCUUCUGCAAUAGCUUCUUUCCUUUGGCUCUGCACCUUUAUCAGCUAGAAAUGAUAAACUACAAAGCUGGUUGGCUUCAGGCUCUCUUUUUUGCAGGACAGGCUAUGCUUGUGCCUAUUGAGGACUGGAAGAUCACAGAGGAUGAGGGGGAAAGGGAAGGCUGCUCGCUCUUGUACACAAUGCAGUGGCAGGAUACAGCCUUUUAUGAAGUUCAGCAAAGAAAAACUUGGGCUUUCCUGCACACCGUGCCAUACCAGUCAGCCUGGUACUUAUGUUCCUGGACCUUUGAAGGCAAGAAACAACAUGCAGUGGGAAUGAAAUCUAAGCCUUGCUGCACCAGAACACUGGUUGCAGCCAAGUUUAGAAAUCUGACGUGAGAGUCAGGUGGAGCAGGUACCAUGACAGGAGAUGCCAUGUAUCACCUGCAGGCAUGCAGAUCUGCAGUGCUGCUACAGCAUCAGAGUCCAACUGCAAUGUGUGGCAUGUGAGAAGCUGGUGAACCCGCGGCCACGUUCGGCUUGAAUACACUUUCCUUGGGAGGAAGUGGCUUUUCCCUCGGAGAGCUCAACUCCCCAGGGUCCCUGUGAGGUCAGUGGAAAAAGUGAUUUCAUCAGAGUAUGUUCCAGAAUGCCUUGACAAACGCUUAUCAUUUUGACUGUGGAGCAAACUUAACCUCUGUAGUUUUAAACCCGCUUUUGUGAGUACCAAACCCUCCCUGCUCCUUAGCUUUGAGAGUUAUGCUGUCCCUGCUAGGCAGAUUGCCUACUGCGGUUCAGGUGCUGCAGGCCCAAGCUGAGAGAAGCUCGUCCAGCAGCGCACAGCGUGUCCUAUUGCAUCCUGCUUCAUCCUUUUGGCUUAUCCUGGAAUAGGUUAGCAGGUAGCAGAGAAAUCAAAUGAAGUCAAAAAAUGUUGGUUUCUUUCUGGAUGGCCUGACUGGACUGGAAUAAUCAGCAUCUGUUUCGGUUUAAAUGAGUUUUCAUUCCGGCCUUUUUUCCCUUUUUGAAGUACAGACAACUGAAGUCUUUAAUUUGCCCCAUCUUUUACUGUAGAGAAAAGUAGAAGUUUCUGUCAGCUGAUACUAUUGCACCUAGAAUAUCUAUACUUAAAAAAGAAUACAAUUUAUUGUCUAUUAUGAAUGAAAAAGCUCUUGCUGGUUUCUUUCAUUUGUAGUGUUGACUUUGAAAGAUAAAUUGUUUGAACUGGUUGACUCUCCAUUUGUAUAACUGAAGGUUAGCUUGCUUGAUAGCCUGAUGGGUCUGCAGUUUUUGCUUGCACUAAAUAAGCUGCAGAACUGCCAGCCCUGGGCAGCUAGGACACAGCACAUACUUGAAAACCAAUUGUCACUUUUACUGGUAAAUCAGGCAGAAUAAUCUCAUGCAUGACAUCCUGGAUGUUUCAGGAUUGAUCCAUCUGGAAGAGCCCCCAUAGGGCCUAGAAUGUGUUUCUAAAGCUGACACACGUACAUAAGUGCUAAUGAGUUUAAAGUUGAAGCUGACAGGCCCAGAACUGUUUUUACCUGGUAGUUUUGCAACCCUAAACCAUGCAGCUUGGUUGUGAGGACACAGGCAUGUUAAACAAACUCCAUCCUUUUUUUUUUCAUAUGUGUUUGCUGUGUAGAACCAGCAGCAAGAAAGUGUAGAAAGAAUUUCUUGUCACUCCAUUGAGCAGACCUGACUCUGAGCACAGAGAAGGAACAGAGUAAAAAUAGUAACAUUUUGCUGUACUGUACUCCCUCAGCAGAGAACCACAUUUUGAGGUUCCCCUUCUUUGUGUCCUUAUUUGUAUUGCAACAGAAGCUUUCGCUCUGGUGGGCAGUCUUUCUCUUCAGUGUGGUGGAUCUUCUUGUUGGCCACUCUGUCCCAGUGCUGGUUUCUAGGUUUUGCCAGUGGUUCUGGAUGUGUAUGUACGUUUUCUGUGCCUCAUACUUCACCUCUCUCCCCUUUUUAGGCUGUGCCAGCUCUUCCAGCCUCCCCACUUUCUGUGUACCUGUGACCAUGGCAAUACAGCCAGGAUUACAUCUAAGGUGAAGACAGAAAAACCAUGAUGAAGAACGAGUGAACACGUUGCAACCCUUGCCUGAAAGACUGAGGCCAAGUUUCUCAAAAACUGACAAUUCAGGAAAAGGGAUAGGAUGGGAAAGUCUGGGCAGAGUGAGGUGUAGAUGAGAGGAAGGUAAAACCUUAAAAUGGGAAUUUGGAGGUUUGAGAUGAGGUGGAGGGAGGCUGAGAUUCACGAAGAAAGUGUAAUCAGGAAUGAGAGGAGGUUUAUGCUGAGACCAUCUGUGCAAGGAACCAGUAGCAGGGGAGGGACAGAAGUCAGCAGAAUUGUUUGUCAGUGCAGAGAAAGUCACAGGGGAUAGGAAGUUAGAAGAAGAACUGGGCAAAGGAGACUGAAUGAAGAGCUGGCGUAGGGAACCAGAGCUGGAAGCGCUGUUGGAUGCUAAGAAACUAGAGGCGGGUGGUAGACAUCUGAAGGUGUUAGCUGGGCAUAGGCAGAGGGGAAGGUGGUGGAGUACUGGGGAAGGCUGCGGGAUGAGGGGCAUGUGCUGGCUGGGCCAUCUCUGCUCUCCAGGCUGGCAGCCAAGCAGGGCUUACCCAAGGCUGGCCUUCACUGUGGCUCAGCCGGCAAAGAAUUUGCCUCUUGUUGGUCUGCCCCAGACACAGAGAGAAUUUAGUGCCCUGGGAUGAGGCGGCAGCAGCUGCCUGCCUGGGGGAGGAGAGGGCUUGCUUGUAGUUAGAUGGAAAAAUAAAAUUACAGUUGGGAGGAGGUAGUGAAAAGGCCACGUGAACAAGAGAGAAAAGGUCAAUUCAUUAGUCCGGCAGCCACUAAAUUAAGAAAAGGCAAGUGAGGCUAUAAUAUCAGAGGUAUCUGAAUUCAGUCAAAGAUGGUUUUGAAGUUGCUGGAUUGAUCUUGUGGUCAGCUUAAGCAAGCUUAACAAAUUAAUUACAGUAUUUUAGUUCAUUGUGUAAGAGCUAGCUAAUAAAUCACAGUGCUUUGUAGAAACAUGCUUGAAACAACUGUGUAAAUACUAAAUAGCCUUAGGAGUGGUCUUACGAAUCCACUGAAUAAUCCAAAUUCCAGCACUCUUCCCCCUCUGCUGCUGCUCUAGAUAUAGGAUAACAGUCACUGCUGUUAUCUGCUCCUUUUUGAGGCAGGGGGGCAGAGGUCUGUGUCAGACAUGGGGAGGUACCAGCACUGCUGGGGACCCAGGGAAGUGCCAUGAUGCUGUGUGAUCUGCACCACAGCAGUCCUUUUAGGAGCUACAUGCAUUAAAGGAACAUUAUUACGGUUGCAAAGCCAAGCAUUUAAAAGUUAGGCAAUGUCCAAAUGAAAUACCUCUGAAACCUUAAUUCAGACUGUGUACACACGCAGUUAUGAAAUGCUUGUUAAUUAUAUUUGCCCUGCUGUUCAUUUCAGCGUGAAUGGCAGUAAUUCAAGAGCCUCUCCCAGUUCUAUAGGCUUUCCUAUAGAAAAGGAGACUGAGCAGCCUUUGACUUGCUGUCUGUGGAUCUGUUUUAAGGAGUGGUACUCAGCCUCAGUAAGUACUACCACAUUCAAAAUACGGGCCAGCGGGUGUGAUCUGAUGCUGAGGGAGCCAUAACUAACACUGCUUGGGAUGCUGACCUGCCUUACUCAUCUUCUCCCCUGGCUCAGGUCUAUGUCAAGGAAGAUUUGGGGAGAAACAGUGCUGCUA